rnacentral:rRNA from 1 species
AGGCCGAAAGGCGUAGUCGAUGGGAAACAGGUUAAUAUUCCUGUACUUGGUGUUACUGCGAAGGGGGGACGGAGAAGGCUAUGUUAGCCGGGGGACGGUUGUCCCGGUUUAAGCAUGUAGGCUGGUUAUCCAGGCAAAUCCGGAUAAUCAAGGCUGAGGUGUGAUGACGAGGCACUACGGUGCUGAAGUAACAAAUGCCCUGCUUCCAGGAAAAGCCUCUAAGCAUCAGGUAACAUCAAAUCGUACCCCAAACCG